rnacentral:rRNA from 1 species
UACGAGGGGGCAAGCGUUGUUCGGAAUCACUGGGCGUAAAGGGUGCGUAGGCGGGUCUUUAAGUCAGGGGUGAAAUCCUGGAGCUCAACUCCAGAACUGCCUUUGAUACUGAAGAUUUUGAGUUCGGGAGAGGUGAGUGGAACUGCGAGUGUAGAGGUGAAAUUCGUAGAUAUUCGCAAGAACACCAGUGGCGAAGGCGGCUCACUG